rnacentral:lncRNA from 1 species
AUGAGGCAAGACAGAAGUAAAUAUCCCCAUGUUACAAGAAAAUGGACACCCCCAAAAGGGGAGUAGUCCCUCAAACUGCACAGCUGGCAGAGCUGGAAUUCUGACUCCAUGUCCAGCUUUCACUCAGCUGGCAUCAGCCCAGGCACCUCUUAGCCCUCAUAUUCCCUUCUCCCCCCGCUGACCCCACUGUGCCUUCAGACACUUUCCAUGCCUUCCCUGGCUCUGAGCCCCAUCUUGGGGGUGAUUAAUAUGAUGUCAUCAAGACUGAGCUCUCAUCCUGGUCACACUGUGAGCCCUAAUCCUGGACUGAUUCCUGAUUCUGGUUGCAGACUGAGCCCCCACCCCUUGCCACUAACUCCCUUAAUAGUGUUUAGAGCCAAACCUAAGAUGGGCCAGGCCUAGAAGACAUGGAUGGCUGAGUUCUGUGCCUCUCCAGGAGCAGGGUUGGUGUAGCUGCAGCCUGGCUAAAUGCUCUGGCAUGGUUUCCCUCCAUCCUGGACUAGACUCAAAGCCACAGCCUGUGCCCAGUCCAUUUCUGUCCCCUCCCACUGCUCUUCCUUGUGUGGGUGGGGGAUUGUGGGGCCCAUGGUACAUGUUGAGCAGAGAUUGUCUGAUGAGUCAUCCUUGCUCAAAACAAAGGAGUCUGGCAUGGACAGUACUUCUGGCUUCUCUGCUGCAAGGGAAUAACCUCUCCAACCCAAAUGUUCAAGUACAACCUUGACCUGGCUGUUUCACACCUUGGGCUCUUCAUUCCCCUCCCUCACCACGUCAGCUUUUCUUCAACAUGAUUUCCCGGAGUUGCCAGAAAACGGGCUUGUUGCAGCUUUUGCCCUGCUUUUAGUACUGGCACCUCCUGUAGGAUCAGUUGGAAGGCAAGGCUGACUUCUAACCACUCGUGUCUCUUAUCCAUGCCAGGAGAGGUGGAAGGUCAGGGAAUGGGCACUGGCAGAUGCUACGUCUGGAGAAGUUGGAGGGAAGAAGAUAAGGGAUGGUAGGGGUCAUGAUCUUGGUAUAUCAUUGAGUCAUAAAAUGUCAGAGCAGCCGGGAUGCUGAAAGACUUCCCCUCCUGCCACUGUGUCAGACAGAUGGAGAAACGAGGUCCCUGGCAGAGGCAGAGGAACAUUCCCAAGAUCCUACAGUAACUUGAUCAGAUUGGGGGUCAAAGUGUGGAUUCUUUGUGCUGAAGAUCAGCCUUGGGCAGAGGGGGCAGGUUCCAUGGCCCUAAAGCCAGAAGAGGACUCCUAGAGAAGGCCCAGGAAGAUAGAAGGAGGGGCUCCAGGGAAGGAGGACCUGGGAGUUUUCCAGCCCUGGGACCUCUGGUUGGAGGGAAGUAAGGUUCCAGUUCCUCAUCAUCAGAUACAUAGCAAGCACAGCCUGGGUCAGAAUAUGGGGAUGUGCCCAGCCAUACAGUGGGGGGGAGCUUGCUUGCUCUCUUGGCCAUGUUUUGCUUUGUGGGGGUUAGAACCAGUUGUGUUCCCCACAAUCCUGGGGUUCCUUUGCUUGACCUAAGAGUCUGCUCUCCUUGCUGAACCCUCAAGGCCCAAAACAGCUCACUUGAGCAAUUCUGCAGCUGCCUCUGGCUGGUCACAGGCCAUGGGAGAUGUAAGAGACAUCUGGACCCAUAGUAAGAGUAUGUAUUUGAGGAGGAAACUUGGGAGAGGGCCACCCUGGUGGGGGUUGCUUAUGGGAGCAGACUGGCUCAGAGAAAAUCACGGCAGGGGGGGGAAGCCUGUCCCUCCUCCAAGCCAAGGGUCUGGGCUGCAGGUUUAGGGUGGCAGGGGGCACUUGGGCUCUUGCCUCAGUGCUGCUACCUGGUGCCUACAUCAAAGACUGCUUUGGCAGCCUCUGGGCUGUGUCACCCUGGGGGCCAUCAUUUCCCCACCUAGUUCAUUUACAUGUCUCUCUGCCGCUAGGCUGGCAACUCUUUGAAAGCCAGAUAUUGCAGGGUGGGUUCUUUGGGAAACAGACUGUGACUCGAGGUUUAUCAUGUUGGAUGUUCUUUAGGGAGAGCUCUUGAGAUGGAUGCCUGUAGAAGGGAGGGGGAAGAGGCAGAACUGGGCAAAGGGAGAAGUUGAGCUAUAAUGCAGGCCCCAACCUAGCCUUGGAUGCCUCAAUGGAAGGUCUGGAGUGGAAUGGCCCAUCACAUUCCCACACUGGGUUGAAAUAGCUGGGCCUUUAUACCCCAAAUGGAUUGAUCUUUGCAUAUAGAUCUCCCAGAGCAGGACAUGACCUCAAGUAAAGCAAGUAUCUGCCACUGAAGCACCUGGAGGGGCUGACAGCCCACAGAACUCCUGCUGGUGUUCUCCUGCCCACAGAACUCCAGAGUGGGCAUCCCCUCUCUGUCUACCUUGCUGGUUUCAGUUCCCUUUUGAGGAAUGCUAGUUCAAGGAAUUAAUAGAUUGCUUUGAAAGAAGCCCCUAAAAUAUUUUGGCCUCAUUCUCCCUAUCUCUUAAAUGGGCAUAUCUUCUACAUUUAGGUUAUAAAAGGCAAAGCUCUUUAUAAACACCACACCCCGGAGUUCCUGUCGUGGCGCAAUGGUUAACGAAUCUGACUAGGAACCAUGAGGUUGCAGGUUUGAUCCCUGGCCUUGCUCAAUGGGUUAAGGAUCUGGCGUUGCCGUGAGCUGUGGUGUAGGUUGCAGAUUCAGCUUGGAUCCCUCGUUGCCGUGGCUCUGGUGUAGGCUGGCAGCUGCAGCUCUGAUUAGACCCCUAGCCUGAGAACCUCCAUAUGCCACAGGAGUGGCCCUAGAAAAGGCAAAAAGACAAAAAAAAUAUAUAUAUAUAUAUGUAAACACCACACCCCAUGGAUGUAUGAAGCCUCCCUUCAGUUCUCUUUCAGUUGACCCUGCACUGAAAGGUAUUGGGAGCACUGAAGGUAUUGGGGGGAGUGGAGGGUAGGUGGGGUGGACGUGGCAGUUUGUGGUUGAUACUUUAGGGGAAACCACAGCUGCCUCUUAUUCAGGGCUGUCAGUGAGGCCAGGGGAGGGGAUGUUCACAUGCCGGAUGGGCCGUGGGCACUGAGUCACCACCCAGAGGAAAACCACAGCUUCAAAAGCCCCAAGGCGCAAGGAAGGGUGGCAGAUGAGCUGGAUGAGAGCCAGGCCUCAGGAGCGGGGAUUUGGACAGCCUCCUUACCUCAAGGGCUAGUCCUGUUCCAGCUUGCAGGGCAGCACCUACCAUAUGCCAUUAGAAAGGCUGGCUUGGUCACACAUCUCUGUGCAGCAGAACAGAGCAAGAGCUGGUUGAUCCUGGAAAAGAACCAAGCCUCUCUGGUGUCUAGUUCCCCACUCCCUGGGAAAAUGGGGACAAUUCUUGAAUUGGAGAAAAUUCAUCUAAAGUAUCUGAAGACACAUAAUCUGCAACUUUGCUAAUAUGAUAAUUUUACUAUCUUCAUUAUAGUCUAGAGUGGCUGCUAUCUGUCACAUUGCAUUCAUCUACUGAUUCCUCAAUAAUUGCAUAGUAAUCCUCCUCAGGCAGUGUUUUCCUUCUUUGUAAGAAGAUGAAAUAUUCUCAAUUCUCAUCUUAUGCAAUGAAAGCUAAAAUAAGGAAAGAUGAUGUCUCCAUACUUCUUUACACCUUCUUGAAAGAUGUCUAAUGCUUUGGAAAAAACAAUUAAAAAACUAAAGGAUGGUGGAAUAGUAAUGAUUUGUGUCACUAUUGAAUCAUUCUCCAGGCAAUUUCAUCAUUCUUCUGUUUUCUUAUUACUUUUUGAAAAUUUAUUUAUUUAUUUAUUUAUUGCUUUUUGGGGUCACACUCACAGCAUGUGGAGGUUGCCAGACUCGGUGUCAAACUGGAGCUGUAGCCACCGGCCUACACCACAGCCACAGCAGUGGCAGAUCUGAGCCACGUCUGUGACCUACACCACAGCUCACUGUAAUGCUGGAUCCUCAACCCUCUCAACGAGGCCAGAGAUCGAACUCGCAUCCUCAUGGAUGCUCGUCAGAUUCGUUUCUGCUAAGCAUGGGAAACUCCUGUUUUCUUAUUAUUUUAAACACUUUUAAACAUUUAUCUUUAUUUUUUAUUAUAGUUGAUUUACACUGUUCUGUCAAUUUCUGUUGCACAGCAAACUGACCCAGUCAUACAUCCAUAUACAUUCUUUUUUUCACAUUAUCCUCCAUCAUGUUCCAUCACCAAAUGAUCAGAUACAGUUCCUUGUGCUGUACAGCAGAAUCUCAUUGCUUAUCCAUUCCAAAUGCAAUAGUUUGCAUCUAGGAACCCCAAACUCCCAGUCCCUCCCCUUCCCUCUUGGCAACCACAAGUCUGUUCUCCAUGUCCAUGAGUUUGCUUCUUUUCUGUAGGUGGAUUAAAGUCUAGAUAUGUGAUAUCAUGUGGUUUUUGUUUUUCUCCUUCUUACUUACUUCACUUAGUGUGAGAGUCUCUAGUUCCAUCCAUGUUGCUGCAAAUGGCAUUAUUUUUUUCUCCUUUAUGGCUGAGUAGUAUUCCAUUGUGUAUAUGUACCACAUCUUCUUAAUCCAUUCGUCUGUCAUUGGACAUUUAGGUUACUUCCAUGUCUUGGCUAUUGUGAAUAGUGUUGCAGUGAACAUAGGGUGCAUGUAUCUUUUUCAAUUAAAGCUUUGUCUGAAUAUAUGCCCAGGAGUGGGAUUGCUGGAUUAUGUGGUAGUUCUAUAUUUAGCUUUCUGAGGUACCUCCAUACUGUUUUCCAUAGUGGUUGUACCAAUUUACAUUCCCACCAACAGUGUAGGAGGAUUCCUUAUUUUAGACUCUUUCUAAAGCAUGAUUAAGAGUAAUUAACAUGUAAUUAUGGAAAAUAGUUCCUAGGAGGAUUAAACAGCAAAUAUUCUAAGAUCUAAGAAAAAGAAGAUUAUUAAAGGUCAUGAUAUAUUUUUGGAUUUGUAAAGGAUCCAAUGGAUUGAUAUGAUAAUUUUAAGAUAGAAUAAGCUUCAUUCGAUUGAAAAAUAAUUGGGGUUCCCAUCAUGGCUCAGUGGUAACGAAACUGACUAGUAUCCAUGAGGUCGCAUUUUUGAUCCCUGGCCCCACUCAGUGAGUUAAGGAUCUGGUGUUGCUGAAAGCUAUGGUGUAGGUUGCAUAUAUGGCUUGGAUCUCACAUUGCUGUGGCUGUGGUGUAAGCCAGAAGCUGCACUCCGAUUAGACCCCUCGCCUGGAAACUUCCAUAUGACACGGAAGCAGACCAAGAAAUGGCAAAAAGACAAAAAAAAAAAAAAAAAAAAAAAAAAAAAGUGCUGAAAGAACAAACCCUGCUGAUCUACAAUUCUAUGCCCAGCAAAAUAUCCUUCAAAAAUGAAGGCAAAAUGAAUGUGUUCAAAUGGACAGAAGUUGAAAGAAUUUGGUUUGUUGCUAGUAUACACUGGUGCUACAGGAAAUUACUAGGACAGUUCUUUAGGCUGAAGGAAAAGAUUCCCUGAUAGAACUACAGAAGGGAAUGAAGGACAGAGCAAAAGUAAAAAUGUAUAUAAUUAUAUGUGAAUAUUGACUGUUUAAACAACAGUAAUAUUUCACAAGAUUUUUAACAUAGAGGUAAAUAUAUUCCAACAAUAGCACCAAAGUGGGAGUUAACUGUUCUAAGAUAAUUUGCAUAACUACUAACUGUAAAAGUACUAGUUUAAGGUAAAUUAAGCACCUUAAAUAAAUCAAGGAUACAGGAGUUCCCGUUGUGGCUCAGUAGUUAACGAAUCCGACUAGGAACCAUGAGGUUGUGGGUUCAAUCCCUGGCCUUGCUCAGUGGAUUAAGGAUCCGGCAUUGCCGUGAGCUGUGGUGUAGGUUGCAGACUCGGCUCAGAUCCCACCUUGCUGUGGCUCUGGCGUAGGCCAGCAGCUACAGCUCCAAUUCGACCCCUAGCCUGGGAACCUCCAUAUGCUGAGAGAGCGGCCCUAGAAAAGGCAAAAAGACAAAAAUAAAUAAAUAAGAAUAAAAAAUUAAAAAAAAUCAAGGAUGCAUAUUGUAGUCUCUAGGAUGACCACUAAAAUCAUAAUAAAAGAAGGUGCAAUGAAAAAGCUAAUAAUAGAGCAAAAUGAAAUAGUAAAAAUUAAAAAAAAUUUUAAAUUAGCUGAAAGGAAAGUGUAAAAGGAGGAAUAAAAUUACAAAGGCUAAAUAGAAAACAAAUAACAAGGUAAAUCCAACUAUACUAGUAAUUAUAAUUAAUGUAAAUAAUAUAAAUAUGUCAAUUAAAAGACAAGGGUUAUCAGACUAGACGAAAAACAAAAUCCAAACCUGAUGUUUAUAGAAGACUCACUUUAUUGUUUUUGUUUUUCACAUUUUUCAAAUUAUAGUUGCUUUACAAUAUUGUGCCAAUUUCUGCUGUACAGCAAAGUGACCCAGUCAUACACACACACACACACACACACACACACACACACACACACACACAUUUCUGUUCUUUUUUUUUUUUUUAAGGCAGCACCUGUGGCACAUGGAAGUUCCCAGGCUAGGGGUUAAAUCAGAGCUGUAGCUGCUUGCCUACAGCCACAGCAAUGCCAGAUCCAAGCUGUGUCUGAGACCUACACCACAGUUCACGGCAAUGCCAUAUCCUUAACCCACUGAGCAAGGCCAGAGAUUGAAACCGCAUCCUCAUGGAUACUAGUCAGAUUCUUAACCCACUGAGCCACAAUGGGAACUCCUGCUUAUAUUUUUCUUAGUCUGUGAGUUUAAACAAAAAUUAUCUACUGUAGUCUUGGAGGGCUAUUUAUAUGCAGAAACGUCCCUGAUAGCUUGUGAGGGCGAACUAUACUUUUGGCUGCUUUUAGUUUGGAUGCUUGCUGUCUCUUUCCUCAGUGAGUGCAGGCCGUUAUCCCUUGAUGGGGUGUAAAGGUAUAUGGACUGCUUGUGCUUCCAGGGAGGUGGGGGCAAUGGGUGGCACCUGCAGGUGGUGCCUAGUUGCUGGGACCUUGCCAGUAGCCACACUCUAUGGGGAGGCGGGGUGGUGCCCAGAACCCUUGCAGUGGCCACAGGGGGCAUAUGUAAUCCCAGGGAGGUGAGGGCAGCAGGUGGCACUCUGGGGCCCUCCACGGCAGCAACACCUGAGGUGACUGGGGCUGCAGGCCCGUGCCUGGUCAUGGGACCCUCAGUGGUGGCAGGCCUCACCCACCUCUGGAGUCUGAGAUUGCCACAGCAGUUUGCACCCACCCUAGUAACAUGUGCAGGAGGCACCUGCCACAUGAGAGCUCUCAUGUGUGCAGAGAAAGAAGUUCCUAUGGUGGUCCUGUUCCCCUCUCCCCUCGUGCUCACCAGCAAUGAGGCCUUGCUGCUCUGGCAGGCCCAGGCCUCCUCCUGCACUGCCUCAGCUGUGGUGCACCACUCCCUAGUCCUUUCAGGCUGUUUCCACACAGCCAACCCCAGUGCUCCCCACAGAAGUGACCUCCAUAGCCCAAGUCUCAGCACUCAGCCCCCGUCUGAGUGUCUCGGCUGUGGUUUCCCAGGCGGCGUUACUGGUGCUCUCUCUGCUUUGCCCUCCUCAGACCAAUUGCUGUGCUUUUCUCUGAGGCCUUGAGGCUCCUUCUCAUCCCAGCUGACCUCCCUGUCAGUUAGGUGGCCUCCCAGGGGACCGACUCCUUUCCUCUUUCACAGCUCCCUCUCAGGAGUGCUGGUUCCAACCUGAUUCCUUGUUUUCUCUUCUCUCUCUCUCUCUCUUUUUUUUCUCCUUUUGUUCUACCCAGUUAUGUGGAGCUUUUCUUGUCCUUUUUGGAAGUCAGAGGUCUUCUCCCAGCAUUCAGUAGAUGUUCUGUGCAAGUCAUUCUACAUUUAGGUGUUUUUUUUUUUUAUUAUUUGUUUGUAGGAGAAGGUAAAUGCCAACGUCCUACACCUCUGCCAUCUUUUUAAAAAUUUUAUUUAUUUAUUUAUUUUUUGAUCACAUCUGUAGUUGUAUAAUGAUCAUAACAAUCCAAUUUCACAGGAUUUCCAUCCCACAACCCAAGAACAUCCCCCCACCCCCCAAAAUGUCUCCUCUGGAGACUAAAUUUUUCAGUGUAUGUGAGUCAGCAUCUGUUCUGCAAAGAAGUUCAGUCUGUCCUUUUUUUCAAAUUCCGCAUGUCAGUGAAAGCAUUUGAUGUUGGUGUCUCAUUGUAUGGCUGACUUCACUUAGCAUGAUAAUUUCUAGGUCCAUCCAUGUUGCUAAAAAUGCUGGUAUUUCAUUCCUUUUAAUGGCUGAGUAAUAUUCCAUUGUGUAUAUGUAUCAUAUCUUCUUGAUCCACUCCUCUGUCGAUGGACAUUUCGGUUGUUUCCAUGUCUUGGCUAUUGAACAUAAUGCUGCAAUGAACAUUGGAGUCCAUGUUUCUUUGUGAGUCAUGGUUUUCUCUGGGUAGAUGCCCAGGAGUGGGAUUGCUGGAUCAAAUGGUAGUUCUAUUUUUAGUUUUCUGAGGCAUCUCCAUACAGUUUUCCACAGUGGUUGCACCAAUUUACAAUCCCACCAACAGUGUGAUAGGGUUCCUUUUUCUCCACACCCUCUCCAGCACUUACUGUUUGUAGACUUUUGGAUGAUGGCCAUUCUGGCUGGUGUAAGGUGGUACCUCAUUGUGGUUUUGAUUUGCAUUUCUCUAAUAAUGAGUGAAGUUAAACAUCUUUUCAUGUGUUUUCUGGCCAUCUGUAUGUCUUCUUUGGAGAACUGUCUGUUUAGAUCUUCUGCCCAUUUUUUGAUGGGGUUGUUUGUUUUUUUGGUAUGGAGCUGCAGAAGGUGUUUAUAAAUUUUGGAGAUUAAUCCCUUGUCAGUUGAUUGAUUUGCAAAGAUUUUCUUCCAUUCUGUGGGUUGUCUUUUUGUUUUGUUUAGGGUUUCUUUUGCUGUGCAGAAACUUUUAGGUUUGAUUAGGUCCCAUUUGUUUAUUUUUGUUUUUAUUGUCAUGACUCUAAGAGGUGGAUCUGAGAAGAUGUUGCUGUCGUUUAAGUCAGAGAGUGUUUGGCCUAUGUUUUCCUCUAAGAGUUUUAUAGUGACUGGGCUUAUAUCUAGGUGUUUAAUCCAUUUUGAGAGUAUUUUUGUGUAUGGUGUUAGGGAGGGUUCUAAUUUCAUUCUUUUCCAUGUGGCUGUCCAGUUUUCCGAGCACCACUUAUUGAACAGGCUGUCUUUUCUACACUCUGCCAUCUUGAUCCCUCCUCACAGAAAUCUCACUUUAUUUUUUUUAAUGAUUAUUUUUUUUUAGGAAGCUUGCUUUAAAUAGAAGGAUACAGAAGGGUGAAAGUCAAAGGUUAGAAAGCAAUGUCAUAUAAAUAUUAACCCCUAAAAAGCUGAUAUGGACACAUGAACACUGGAAAUUUUAAGUUAAGAUGUAUUAUAAGUUCCUGUCGUGGCGCAG